rnacentral:rRNA from 1 species
AGCUAGUUGGCGGGGUAAAAGCCCACCAAGGCGACGAUGGGUAGCUGGUCUGAGAGGACGAUCAGCCACACUGGAACUGAGACACGGCCCAGACUCUUACGGGAGGCAGCAGUGGGGAAUAUUGGACAAUGGGGGAAACCCUGAUCCAGCGAUGCCGCGUGAGUGAAGAAGGCCCUAGGGUUGUAAAGCUCUUUUAGUGGGGAAGAUAAUGACGGUACCCACAGAAAAAGCACCGGCAAACUCUGUGCCAGCAGCCGCGGUAAUACAGAGGGUGCAAGCGUUGUUCGGAAUUACUGGGCGUAAAGAGCGCGUAGGCGGUUCUAUAAGUCAGACGUGAAAGCCCUGGGCUUAACCCAGGAGGUGCGUUUGAAACUGUAGAGCUAGAGGACGAGAGAGGUGAGUGGAAUUCCUAGUGUAGAAGUGAAAUUCGUAGAUAUUAGGAGGAACAUCAGUGGCGAAGGCGACUCACUGGCUCGUAACUGACGCUGAGGCGCGAAAGCGUGGGGAGCAAACAGGAUUAGAUACCCUGGUAGUCCACGCCCUAAACGAUGAGUGCUAGACGUUGGGCCUUAAAGGUUCAGUGUUGCAGCUAACGCAAUAAGCACUCCGCCUGGGGAGUACGGUCGCAAGAUUAAAACUCAAAGGAAUUGACGGGGACCCGCACAAGCGGUGGAGCAUGUGGUUUAAUUCGAAGCGCGUAUCGUGACUGGGAAACAGAUCGGAAGAGCACACGUCUGAACUCCAGUCACUCCGCGAAAUCUCGUAUGCCGUCUUCUGCUUGAAAAAAA